rnacentral:rRNA from 1 species
AAUAGAUACCCUGGUAGUCCACGCUGUAAACGAUGGAUACUAGGUGUGGGAGGUAUCGACCCCUUCCGUGCCGCAGUAAACGCAAUAAGUAUCCCGCCUGGGGAGUACGGCCGCAAGGUUGAAACUCAAAGGAAUUGACGGGGGCCCGCACAAGCAGCGGAGCAUGUGGUUUAAUUCGAAGCAACGCGAAGAACCUUACCAGGACUUGACAUCCUCUGCAUUACUCGUAACUGAGGAAAUCCUUCGGGACAGAGAGACAGGUGGUGCAUGGUUGUCGUCAGCUCGUGUCGUGAGAUGUUGGGUUAAGUCCCGCAACGAGCGCAACCCUUAUCCUUAGUUGCUACCAUUAAGUUGAGCACUCUAGGGAGACUGCCGGGGACAACUCGGAGGAAGGUGGGGAUGACGUCAAAUCAUCAUGCCCCUUAUGUUCUGGGCUACACACGUGCUACAAUGGGUAUAACAACGGGAAGCAAGCUGGUGACAGUAAGCAAAUCCCUAAAAAGUACUCUCAGUUCAGAUUGUAGGCUGCAACUCG